CGCACAUUGCGCCUAUAGGUAUUCCUUUAGGCAUGUCCUUUUGAGGGGCUUAUCACCGUAGCCAAGUGCUGUGUUGGAUCAAACCAUUUUGACAGGUUGAUCUUAAAACAAGUGCGCGACGCAGCGAACAGAAUUCGCGAGAGUUGUUGCAGAAGCAAGCUGCCGUCCGCGGCCACACUUCUUGCCCUCAGAGAGAUAAGAUUACCCGCUGAACUUAA
rnacentral:misc_RNA from 1 species